rnacentral:sRNA from 2 species
UGUAUCUGAAGCCUGACGAGGAUGAGAACCUCUGGGGGUAAGAGGUUCGACUCGAGCGAAGCGAGAGAACGUUGCGCCAGCAACGGCCCGCAGGGCGAGCCACGCAGUGGCGAGUCAUCCUCUAUCACCGGCAG